CAGUCGCCGCGGGAAAACGUAGGUGGCAAGCGUUGUCCGGAAUUACUGGGCGUAAAGCGUGCGCAGGCGGUUUUGUAAGACAGGCGUGAAAUCCCCGGGCUUAACCUGGGAAUGGCGCUUGUGACUGCAAAGCUAGAGUGCGGCAGAGGGGGAUGGAAUUCCGCGUGUAGCGGUGAAAUGCGUAGAGAUGUGGAGGAACGCCAGUGGCGAAGGCGACUCUCUGGUCUGUAACUGACGCUGAGGAGCGAAAGCGUGGGGAGCGAACAGGAUUAGAGACCCCGGUAGUCCCUGUCUCUUAUAC
rnacentral:rRNA from 1 species